ensembl:ncRNA Y41D4B.28 ncRNA
CUCAGGCUUAGGCUUAGUAUUAGGCUUAGGGUAAUGCUUAGGCACAGGUUGAGGCUUAGGCUUAGACUUAAGCUUAAGCUUAUGCUUAGGCGCAGGCUCAGACUUAGUAUUAGGCUUAGGCUUAGGUUUAGGCUUGGGCAUAGGCUUAGG